rnacentral:rRNA from 2 species
CACUCUGGGACAAGCCCUGGAAACGGGGUCUAAUACCGGAUACUGACCCUCACGGGCAUCUGUGAGGGUCGAAAGCUCCGGCGGUGCAGGAUGAGCCCGCGGCCUAUCAGCUUGUUGGUGAGGUAACGGCUCACCAAGGCGACGACGGGUAGCCGGCCUGAGAGGGCGACCGGCCACACUGGGACUGAGACACGGCCCAGACUCCUACGGGAGGCAGCAGUGGGGAAUAUUGCACAAUGGGCGAAAGCCUGAUGCAGCGACGCCGCGUGAGGGAUGACGGCCUUCGGGUUGUAAACCUCUUUCAGCAGGGAAGAAGCGAAAGUGACGGUACCUGCAGAAGAAGCGCCGGCUAACUACGUGCCAGCAGCCGCGGUAAUACGUAGGGCGCAAGCGUUGUCCGGAAUUAUUGGGCGUAAAGAGCUCGUAGGCGGCUUGUCACGUCGGUUGUGAAAGCCCGGGGCUUAACCCCGGGUCUGCAGUCGAUACGGGCAGGCUAGAGU